UCCCUGGCGGUCCAGUGGCUAAGACUCAGCGCUCCCAGUGCAGGGGUCCAGGUUCAAUCCCUGGCCGGGGAA
rnacentral:tRNA from 1 species